rfam:Cavia porcellus supercont2_59 genomic scaffold, whole genome shotgun sequence.
GAUUUAGCUCAGUGGCAUAAGCACCUGCCUUGCAAGCAGGCAUCAUGAGUUCGAUCCUCGGUAUCG